UGGGAAACAGAAGAAGGAAGAUGUCACCAGACAAAAGAAGUCUAAUGGGAGGAAUCCGUGGAAUUUUCUUUUGCAUGCUUGUGUAACACUCGUGAAGCAGCAAAAGAAGAUCCACGUUAUUCCAGAAAUUAAUGCCAGUGAAGUCAAUCGUGUACAUCAAGGUUGCUGUGAGGAUCAAAUGAAAUAAUAUAUGUGAUCUGUAUGUAGG